rnacentral:rRNA from 1 species
AUUGAACGCUGGCGGCAUGCUUUACACAUGCAAGUCGAGCGGGGUAGAGGGGCAACUCUCUAUUCAGCGGCGGACGGGUGAGUAAUGCAUCGGAACGUAUCCCGUAGUGGGGGACAACCCAGCGAAAGCUGGGCUAAUACCGCAUAUGCUCUGAGGAGGAAAGCAGGGGACCCAGCGGGCAACUGAGGGGCCUUGUGCUAUGGGAGCGGCCGAUGUCCGANAGCUGGUUGGUGAGGUAAAGGCUUACCAAGGCGACGAUCGGUAGCUGGUCUGAGAGGAUGAUCAGCCACACUGGGACUGAGACAC